rnacentral:lncRNA from 1 species
UUUGCUUCUUCGUCGUAUCUUAUUAUGUAUAUUCAAAGGAUUUACAAUCCUUUAUUUAAAGGCAUCCCUUGAAGUACUUGUAGAGCAGAUAUCUUAAAACUUCAUGGAAAAUAUCAAACAUACAUACGUUAUUUGUUUAGUCACUUCCUUCUAGAGUAUGUCUAACUUCUGAUAUUGGUCAUGCUGUUAAUGGAAAUGAUUAUUUG